CUGGAGCCAAUUAAGCUGACCAGGUUCCUUCCCUCAUGCAGGCCUGGUGUGCGGGCUCCUUGGUGCUGUAUUGCAGCCUGUCACAGCCUGGCUCACCCUAAGGGGCCUUGGAGACCGUU
rnacentral:snoRNA from 1 species